UACGAGGGGGGCGAGCGUUGUUCGGAAUUAUUGGGCGUAAAGGGUGCGUAGGCGGUUUGGUAAGUCUUGUGUGAAAUCUCCAGGCUCAACUUGGAGUCUGCACGAGAAACUGCCGGGCUUGAGUGUGGGAGAGGUGAGUGGAAUUCCCGGUGUAGCAGUGAAAUGCGUAGAUAUGCGGAGGAACACCGAUGGCGAAGGCAAUCCCCUGGGCCUGCACUGACGCUCAUGCACGAAAGCGUGGGGAGCAAACAGG
rnacentral:rRNA from 1 species